GGAACGUAGCGAAAUGCGAUAAGUAGUGUGAAUUGCAGAAUUCAGUGAAUCAUCGAAUCUUUGAACGCACAUUGCGCCCCUUGGUAUUCCAUGGGGCAUGCCUGUUCGAGCGUCAUUUGUACCCUCAAGCUUUGCUUGGUGUUGGGUGUUUGUCCCGCGUUGCGCGUGGACUCGCCUUAAAGCGAUUGGCAGCCGGCAUAUUGGCCUUGGAGCGCAGCACAUUUUGCGCUUCUAGUCAUGAAUGUUGGCGUCCAUUAAGCCUAUACAUUUGCUCUUGACCUCGGAUCAGGUAGGGAUACCCGCUGAACUUAAGCAUAUCAAUAAGCGGAGGA
rnacentral:misc_RNA from 1 species